rnacentral:rRNA from 1 species
AAAUUGAAGAGUUUGAUCAUGGCUCAGAUUGAACGCUGGCGGCAGGCCUAACACAUGCAAGUCGAACGGUAACAGGAAACAGCUUGCUGUUUCGCUGACGAGUGGCGGACGGGUGAGUAAUGUCUGGGAAACUGCCUGAUGGAGGGGGAUAACUA